rnacentral:tRNA from 1 species
UGGGUGUGGCUUAGUGGUAGAGCACUUGCCUAGCACGUGUGAGGCCUUGGGAUCAAUCCCCAGCACCACAG